CCGGAGGCCACUGCUAUCGGGGUUUGACUAAGCCAUGCGAGUCGAGAGGUGUAAGACCUCGGCGAACUGCUCAGUAACACGUGGACAAUCUGCCCUGAAGAAGAGAAUAAUCCCGGGAAACUGGGGGUAAUGCUCUAUAGUCCGGGAGGACUGGAAUGUUCUCCGGAUAAAAGAUCCGUCGCUUCAGGAUGAGUCUGCGGCCGAUUAGGUAGUUGUUGGGGUAAAAGCCCAACAAGCCUGUAAUCGGUACGGGUUGUGGGAGCAAGAGCCCGGAGAUGGAUUCUGAGACACGAAUCCAGGCCCUACUGGGCGCAGCAGGCGCGAAAACUUUACAAUGCGGGCAACCGUGAUAAGGAAACCCCGAGUGCCACCACAGGGUGGCUGUCCACCAGUGUAAACAACUGGUGAAGAAAGGGCCGGGCAAGACCGGUGCCAGCCGCCGCGGUAAUACCGGCGGCUCGAGUGGUGGCCGCUUUUACUGGGCUUAAAGGGUCCGUAGCUGGAUCUGUGUGUCCCUUGAGAAAUCCAUCGGCUUAACUGAUGGGCGUUCAGGGGAAACUGCAGUUCUAGGGACCGGGAGAGGUGAGAGGUACUGCCGGGGUAGGAGUGAAAUCCUGUAAUCCCGGUGGGACGACCUAUGGCGAAGGCAUCUCACCAGAACGGCUCCGACAGUGGGGGACGAAAGCUGGGGGAGCAAACCGGAUUAGAUACCCGGGUAGUCCCAGCUGUAAACUAUGCGCAUUAGGUGUGUCAGUGACCACGUGUCACUGAGGUGCCGAAGGGAAACCGUGAAAUGCGCCGCCUGGGGAGUACGGUCGCAAGGCUGAAACUUAAAGGAAUUGGCGGGGGAGCACCACAACGGAUGGAGCCUGCGGUUUAAUCGGACUCAACGCCGGGAAUCUCACCGGAUAAGACAGCUGAAUGAUAGUCGGGAUGAAGACUCUACU
rnacentral:rRNA from 1 species